rnacentral:rRNA from 1 species
ACCAGACUCCUACGGGAGGCAGCAGUGAGGAAUAUUGGUCAAUGGCCGGAAGGCUGAACCAGCCAAGCCGCGUGAGGGAGGAAGGCGCAGAGCGUCGCAGACCUCUUUUGCCGGGGGACAAAAGGCCGGACUCGUCCGGUCCUGAGGGUACCCGGAGAAAAAGCAUCGGCUAACUACGUGCCAGCAGCCGCGGUAAUACGUAGGUGGCGAGCGUUAUCCGGAAUUACUGGGUGUAAAGGGUGUGUAGGCGGGAGUGCAAGUCAGACGUGAAAACUAUGGGCUCAACCCAUAACGUGCGUUUGAAACUGUGCUUCUUGAGAGUGGGAGAGGUAAACGGAAUUCCUGGUGUAGUAGUGAAAUGCGUAGAUAUCAGGAGGAACACCGGUGGCGAAGGCGGUUUACCGGACCACAACUGACGCUGAGACACGAAAGCGUGGGGAGCAAACAGGAUUAGAUACCCGCGUAC